AACGAACGCUGGCGGCAUGCCUAACACAUGCAAGUCGAACGAGACCUUCGGGUCUAGUGGCGCACGGGUGCGUAACGCGUGGGAACCUGCCCUUAGGUUCGGAAUAACUCCCCGAAAGGGGUGCUAAUACCGGAUAAUGUCUUCGGACCAAAGAUUUAUCGCCUUUGGAUGGGCCCGCGUUGGAUUAGCUAGUUGGUAGGGUAAAAGCCUACCAAGGCGACGAUCCAUAGCUGGUCUGAGAGGAUGAUCAGCCACACUGGGACUGAGACACGGCCCAGAACCCCUCCGGAGGAAGGAGGUGGGAAAAAUUGAACAUGGGGCGAAGGCUUAAUCAGGCAAGGCCGGGUGAGUAAGAAAGGCUUAGGGGUUGUAAGGCUCUUUUACCGGGAAUAUAAAUGACGGUACGGGAGAAAUAGCUCCGGCUAACUCCGUG
rnacentral:rRNA from 1 species